CCAGCCCCAGAGCACCAACCAGGACCACCAACAGGACCAAGGAUCUACCCUGGGCCGGGCUCCUGAUGCUGGGUAUACACUUCUGCAACAUGGUGGUGCUAACAUCUACGAUACGAUCAAUUCCUCAGACAACAAUGAUAAUGAUGGUGCUGCUGCUGGAACAAGUCAUGUGACAUACGCCCAGAUUCAACUCAAAAAGUUGGACAAGAAAAAGAAAGAAAAGCCAGCUGAUCCAAAAGAAAAUCCAGUCUACUCUGAGGUGAAGACAGGGAAAGCCAC